UGGUCUGUAACUCACACUGAGGCGCGAAAGCGUGGGGAGCACACAGGAUUAUAUACCCUGGUAGUCCACCCCGUAAACGAUGAGUGAUAAGUGUUAGAGGGUUUCCGCCCUUUAGUGGUGAAGUUAACGCAUUAAGCACUCCGCCUGGGGAGUGCGGCCGCAAGGCUGAAUCUCAAAGGAAUUGGCGGGGGCCCGCACAAGCGGUGGAACAUGUGGUUUAAUUCGAAGCAACGCGAAGAACCUUCCCAGGUCUUGACAUCCUCUGACAACCCUAGAAAUAGGGCUUCUCCUUCGGGAGCAGAGUGACAGGUGGUGCAUGGUUGUCGUCAGCUCGUGUCGUGAGAUGUUGGGUUAAGUCCCGCAACGAGCGCAACCCUUGAUCUUAGUUGCCAUCAUUUAGUUGGGCACUCUAAGGUGACUGCCGGUGACAAACCGGAGGAAGGUGGGGAUGACGUCAAAUCAUCAUGCCCCUUAUGACCUGGGCUACACACGUGCUACAAUGGACGGUACAAAGAGCUGCAAGACCGCGAGGUGGAGCUAAUCCCAUAAAAUCGUUCUCAGUUCGGAUUGUAGGCUGCAACUCGCCUAC
rnacentral:rRNA from 1 species